CCGUGGUAAUCCCAGAGCCAAUACAUGCAAAAAGCUCCGACCGUAUGGGAAGAGCGCUUUUAUUAGACCAAAACCAAUGGGGUCGCAAGAUCCCUUUGUAUGGUGACUCUGGAUAACUUUGUGCUGAUCGCAUGGCCUAGAGCCGGCGACGUAUCUUUCAAGUGUCUGCCCUAUCAACUUUCGAUGGUAAGCGAUUUGCCUACCAUGGUUGUAACGGGUAACGGGGAAUCAGGGUUCGAUUCCGGAGAGGGAGCAUGAGAAACGGCUACCACAUCUACGGAAGGCAGCAGGCGCGCAAAUUACCCACUCCUAGAACGGGGAGGUAGUGACGAAAAAUAACAAUACCGGACUCAAUGAGGCUCGGUAAUUGAAAUGAGUACAGUUUAAAACCCUUAACGAGGAUCUAUUGGAGGG
rnacentral:rRNA from 1 species